ACCUGAGAGAUUGCUUAACUCAAACUCUGCUUCUACAUUAGAGGGCUUUUACAGAAUAGGUUAAUAGAAAGUGCUCCUGAGACGAUGUCAGUUCCUAUGUGGCAUGGAAUGUCUAAGAUGCUUUCACUGGCUGCUGGGGAAGAAUGUACAACUCAACUCAGGAUCUGACUGGCACCUUUGCUGGCAUAUCACCAAGGCUUCAGUGUCUUCUGAAAAAUGACCUCAACAAAAUUUGCUAUCUACCUAUUUACUACCAUAAAUGAGGAAACCAAAAAGGUCAACGGUGAGGCAGGAAGGUUUCAGUUCAGUGGAGAAAAGAAAAUCUUGAUGAAAUGUCAUUAACUUCCAUAUUUGGAAUAAGCUAUAAAAGCUUGUCGAAGGUCUAAUUUAUGUGCAAGACCGAAAGCUGUUUAAAC
rnacentral:lncRNA from 1 species